rnacentral:tRNA from 1 species
GCGCCCGUAGCUCAGCUGGAUAGAGCAGCGGCCUUCUAAGCCGCAGGCCGCAGGUUCGAACCCUGCCGGGCGCGCCA